rnacentral:rRNA from 1 species
AGGAUGGAUCUGCGGCCUAUCAGGUUGUAGUGGGUGUAAUGUACCUACUAGCCUACGACGGGUACGGGUUGUGGAAGCAAGAGCCCGGAGAUGGAUUCUGAGACAUGAAUCCAUGCCCUACGGGGCGCAGCAGGCGCGAAAACUUUACAAUGCGGGAAACCGUGAUAAGGGAACACUGAGUGCUAGCAUUUAUGUUAGCUGUCCACAUGUGUAAAUAGCAUGUGAUAGCAAGGGCUGGGCAAGACCGGUGCCAGCCGUCGCGGUAACACCGGCAGUCCGAGUGGUGAUCACUAUUAUUGGGUCUAAAGGGUCCGUAGCCGGUUUAAUCAGUCUUCUGGGAAAUCUAAUCGCUUAACUAUUAGGCUUCCAUGGGAUACUGUUAGACUUGGGACCGGGAGAGGUAAGAGGUACUGCAGGGGUAGGAGUGAAAUCUUGUAAUCCCUGUGAGACCACCAGUGGCGAAGGCGUCUUAC